GUUAAUACCAAAAACCGAAAUUUAACAAACCGCAAAACAAAUGCCGCAGCCACCAGUGACUCACGUGUUAGUUUCUGUCUCUUUGUGAGUUGUAUCGUUCGCUAAAAUGUAAAUUCUAAUUCCAAAAAUGAGUAAAAAACCGACCAGACACACAGGAUACUACUUCCUUCUAAUACUGCGUGUACUGCAUAUCUCCCAGGUUACAGUAUCUGCUUCCCAGCCGCGGGCCUGUUGUUUCUGGUAUAGUUUUAUAUGGUUCACUGCAAAACGACACGCGUCUCUCUCGUAUUCACUGACAGUUGAUCCAGCGGGAAUAAAAGACAAGACACAGCGGUACGUGUCCACAUCAGUCAGUGUUGCUGUGAUUGCCCAUAUACCGUGGGUGUACAGUAAAAAACGGCCCACACUGUUGUUGACAUAGUGUGGUGAUGAUUGUCUUUCAUCUCCUCACUCCUCACUUCAAUCUGCAGAAACAGGUGGUUGACCACUGAGAUGGAUGGUGACCCUCUCAACAGCAUCCAGUGAUGCACAUGAUGGAUGUGAUCACAUGUCACAGGAAUUUAACCGUGGAAGGGGAAUAUCUGCGUGAAGUCAGCUGUGUGUCACACAUGCGUGUGCUGCAAUGUGUUGAAGGUGUUGGCUCUGAGCAGCAGGUCAAAUAAUAGUCGUUUUUAAAUCCUCUUCUCUGGAAUCUAAUGUUCCAUCUAUUUAGGAAUCUCUACUGUGUUUGCUCAUAUUUGAUCAUUCAUUUAGUCGGUGAAACUCGUCAUAAUGAGGCGUUUAUUGUCAUUGCAGGCCGUGUGCAAAAAAGGAAAAAAAAAACCUCUGGACAAAAGGAACUCUUUACGUGUAAUGGAACAUUCAGUGACGACUGUAAACAACACUCUGGAGUCAUACAACUCGAGAGUGAAAGGUAUUCUGGAGGGAGCCGACAACGUCGCCCUGCUGGACAAUUUACUGCCCCUCUCUGGGAAUUCCACAUGAUCCAGUCUGACGUUCAGCUGCUGGAUGGACCACGUCGUCUCCUCUUCGUUCUUUCCCAUGCUGAUCCAGACGCCCAGACACAGGUGGAUUAACACAGGUAUACACAAACACAUGUCCACACAGUAGCCUGACCC